rnacentral:rRNA from 1 species
UACGUAGGGCGCAAGCGUUGUCCGGAAUUAUUGGGCGUAAAGAGCUCGUAGGCGGUUUGUCGCGUCUGCUGUGAAAGCCCGGGGCUCAACCCCGGGUCUGCAGUGGGUACGGGCAGACUAGAGUGCAGUAGGGGAGACUGGAAUUCCUGGUGUAGCGGUGAAAUGCGCAGAUAUCAGGAGGAACACCGAUGGCGAAGGCAGGUCUCUGGGCUGUAACUGACGCUGAAGCACGAAAGCGUGGGGAGCAAACAGG